AGGACGAACGCGGUCAGCCUGCAUAGUACAUGCAAGUCGAGCGGACAGAUGGGAGAAUGGUGCAAGAGAUUAGCGGCGGACGGGUGAGUAACACGUGGGUAACCUGCCUGUAAGACUGGGAUAACUCCGGGAAACCGGCGCUAAUACCGGAUGGUUGUCUGAACCGCAUGGUUCAAACAUAAAAGGUGGCUUUGGCUACCACUUACAGAUGGACCCGCGGCGCAUUAGCUAGUUGGUGAGGUAACGGCUCACCAAGGCAACGAUGCGUAGCCGACCUGAGAGGGUGAUCGGCCACACUGGGACUGAGACACGGCCCAGACUCCUACGGGAGGCAGCAGUAGGGAAUUUUUCGCAAUGGACGAAAGUCUGACGGAGCAACGCCGCGUGAGUGAUGAAGGUUUUCGGAUCGUAAAGCUCUGUUGUUAGGGAAGAACAAGUACCGUUCGAAUAGGGCGGUACCUUGACGGUACCUAACCAGAAAGCCACGGCUAACUACGUGCCAGCAGCCGCGGUAAUACGUAGGUGGCAAGCGUUGUCCGGAAUUAUUGGGCGUAAAGGGCUCGCAGGCGGUUUCUUAAGUCUGAUGUGAAAGCCCCCGGCUCAACCGGGGAGGGUCAUUGGAAACUGGGGAACUUGAGUGCAGAAGAGGAGAGUGGAAUUCCACGUGUAGCGGUGAAAUGCGUAGAGAUGUGGAGGAACACCAGUGGCGAAGGCGACUCUCUGGUCUGUAACUGACGCUGAGGAGCGAAAGCGUGGGGAGCGAACAGGAUUAGAUACCCUGGUAGUCCACGCCGUAAACGAUGAGUGCUAAGUGUUAGGGGGUUUCCGCCCCUUAGUGCUGCAGCUAACGCAUUAAGCAUUCCGCCUGGGAUACGCCCCCC
rnacentral:rRNA from 1 species